GUGUUCUGUUUCCAUUGAAUAGCAAUGCUCAGGCUCUCAAACCCUUCCUCUGCUCCCCUGCGGUGUGGGGGAAGGGCUGUGGCUUGUGCAAUGUCCUGGUGUUGGGGAGGAGUGGUGUCUUCAGGCACAGCUUCCUGCCUCCUGCACUCUUGUGCCUUUUCUGGCGUGGUGUGCUUGCCCUCCAUGAGUUGAGCAGUUUUUCUCCACCAUGACCUUCCACCAUGAUGUUUCCGCCUUGGAGGAUCUGUGAUUCCAGUGCUGCCCUUGGUGAUUCACGGAGAAGGUUAUUUUACCCUGGGGACAGAGUGCCACACAAAGACUUUCCUGCUGCUGAAUGUGUGAACAAACACCAUCUCAGAGAAUCAAUAGAAGAAAUCUAAGAAGAAAUGCCUUGAUUGGCAAAGACUUCUGGUGGCCUAUACAGAAUCAUAAAAUGAAUGAAGCACCUGAUGGUCAAGGAAGAGAAAAGAAGAUGAAAGGAUGAAUGCGUAUUUGUUUCAUAAUCACUAACAGGUGUUAAUAAAACGUAUUGUACAAUGCUCAAUUGUCAUGACAUUGAAAGGGAUCAGGUUCACC
rnacentral:lncRNA from 1 species